GACGAACGCUGGCGGCGUGCUUAACACAUGCAAGUCGUACGGUAAGGCCCUUUCGGGGGUACACGAGUGGCGCACGGGUGAGUAACACGUGAGUAACCUGCCCACAACUUUGGGAUAACGCUAGGAAACUGGUGCUAAUACUGGAUAUGUGCUCCUGCUGCAUGGUGGGGGUUGGAAAGCUCCGGCGGUUGUGGAUGGACUCGCGGCCUAUCAGCUUGUUGGUGGGGUAGUGGCCUACCAAGGCGGCGACGGGUAGCCGGCCUGAGAGGGUGACCGGCCACAUUGGGACUGAGAUACGGCCCAGACUCCUACGGGAGGCAGCAGUGGGGAAGAUUGCACAAUGGGCGCAAGCCUGAUGCAGCAACGCCGCGGGCGGGAUGACGGCCUUCGGGUUGUAAACCGCUUUCAGCAGGGACGAAGCUUUUUGUGACGGUACCUGCAGAAGAAGCACCGGCUAACUACGUG
rnacentral:rRNA from 1 species